ACCCCUGACUAUAAAAUGUGUAGAAACACAACUAGCUAUCAAGAACAAGUAGAAGAUGCAGAGGAACAACAAAUUUACAAAAGCUAUAGCCGUUCUUUGGAAGCAAGAAGAGGCCAAAUUCAAUUCAACGUCACACCAUGGAAGGCUCCCUACAUCAUACACAUACACAUACACAAGAGAUAACAAUUAGCAAAUCACUAACAAGUUUUAAUGCAUAAUAUGUAGUUAUAUAAUCUGUCUUUUUGUCUUUUGAGG